rnacentral:misc_RNA from 1 species
AGUCCUGACUUCCCACAACUGAUGGCCGACAGAAUGGUCGUACAGCAGACAAAUGGGAUAAUGGUAUACUUCCGAUAGAUUUCUUCCCAUCCAUCUGAUUCGAAACCCACAGGAAAAAUUUGAAGAAGAAACUAAGAGUCAAAGAUUUCCGAAACUCAACCAUCCCACCAGGAGCAUCUUCCUUUAGCAAGACAUCAGUUUCUAGCACUUUCAAAGCACCCUUCAAAAGUUCC